UUCCUUGCUUGUCUUGUAUGAUCACUACGCCUUCUCUUGAGUUCUCAGUGGUUUCCUGCCUUGUGAUUGACUUUUUUGCUCUCCGUGGUCCCCUUGUGUUUUUGUUUGGAUCGAUUUGGAUUAAAUAUGUACAUUUUUUAGAUGUGAAGCUGACACGCCUUUCUAAACAGAGUCCUCAAUGGUUGAUUGUGUGGACUCCUGUGAAGCUGCUCCUCUGCCCUCCUCUCCUUACGUCCACCAAACUGCUGCUCCUGCUACGGCCCAUUUGCAGAGGCCAAAAAGAGAUGACCCCUACCUGCAGCUCCAGCUUUUGUUAACUCGAAGCCACACUGCAGCUCAUCAAGCAGACCACACACGGAGAGAGGAGGAAGCACAGCGCUGAAAAAGAAACAGAGAGGAGAGAGAGGCAGAGGAGAGAGGAGUUAACGCUCUUGUUAUCACAGAGGGUGAAAAAUGAAAUGGUGAGACCUUUUUUUCCACCAUAAAAACUCAUAAUGUAUGUCCACCACCUCCCCACAGUGUCACACGUGUUAUCCUUCGCAUCUCUCAUCCUUGGUGCCGCACUCUCUCUCACAAUGUUGAUGUUAAAGUGAGUUUGGUUUAUUUUCUUUUUAUAUGGAGUUUCCAUCAUGCUCCACUCCCUCUGUGGUUCCAGAGCGGCUGGCCAAAUGGCAAUAAAAUGCUCAAAGGACAUCAGAGAGCGAAAGGAGACUUAUUUGUUAGCCUAACAAAAUCCCCAGUAGUUACAUCGGCAGUGAACUUGUGAGAAUAAAGGGGGAAGGCUCUGCAUCAGUGCCAUUGUAAGAGGCAAGACAAGUGGUCCAACAGUCAGUCUACUAUUCUUUGACAACUAGAUUCAGUCAGUUUUAUUUAUGUUGUCGGGCAGCUAUUUUUAUGUUUAAGCUCCAAUCAAAGUGCUGUAAAGAUGCAAAGUACAAAAACUGAGUAAACACUUUUAAAACCAAGAACAUAACUCAAGUAAAAGCAGCUUUGCAAACAUAAAAAAAGCAUGCUAAGUCAUCAUAAAACAAGUGCAUGUAACUGCUGUGUUAGCUUAAAUGAUGGCUUUGAAGUGUGAGUGGAAUGACUCAGUCUGUGUGGAGAUUUUCCUGCUGUCGCUUCCACUUGGAUGUGAAGUGAAUAAAAACUGAAAGCAGA